GACCUGGUGGUGAAGUACAUCACACCCACACUGCUUGUUGAACAACCGCAACAGUAGCAGUGGGAGUCCCCGGUUCGAGCCCGGGCCAGGUCA